UCACUACAGGAUGGGCCCGCGGUGCAUUAGCUAGUUGGUGGGGUAACGGCCUACCAAGGCAACGAUGCAUAGCCGACCUGAGAGGGUGAUCGGCCACAUUGGGACUGAGACACGGCCCAAACUCCUACGGGAGGCAGCAGUAGGGAAUCUUCCACAAUGGACGAAAGUCUGAUGGAGCAACGCCGCGUGAGUGAUGAAGGUUUUCGGAUCGUAAAACUCUGUUGUAAGGGAAGAACAAGUACGUUAGGAAAUGAACGUACCUUGACGGUACCUUAUUAGAAAGCCACGGCUAACUACGUGCCAGCAGCCGCGGUAAUACGUAGGUGGCAAGCGUUGUCCGGAUUUAUUGGGCGUAAAGCGCGCGCAGGCGGUUUCUUAAGUCUGAUGUGAAAGCCCACGGCUUAACCGUGGAGGGUCAUUGGAAACUGGGAGACUUGAGUGCAGAAGAGGAAAGUGGAAUUCCAAGUGUAGCGGUGAAAUGCGUAGAGAUUUGGAGGAACACCAGUGGCGAAGGCGACUUUCUGGUCUGCAACUGACGCUGAGGCGCGAAAGCAUGGGGAGCAAACAGGAUUAGAUACCCUGGUAGUCCAUGCCGUAAACGAUGAGUGCUAAGUGUUAGGGGGUUUCCGCCCCUUAGUGCUGCAGCUAACGCAUUAAGCACUCCGCCUGGGGAGUACGACCGCAAGGUUGAAACUCAAAGGAAUUGACGGGGGCCCGCACAAGCGGUGGAGCAUGUGGUUUAAUUCGAAGCAACGCGAAGAACCUUACCAAUCUAGAGAUAGAGUUUUCCCUUCGGGGACAUUGGUGACAGGUGGUGCAUGGUUGUCGUCAGCUCGUGUCGUGAGAUGUUGGGUUAAGUCCCGCAACGAGCGCAACCCUUGAUCUUAGUUGCCAUCAUUUAGUUGGGCACUCUAAGGUGACUGCCGGUGACAAACCGGAGGAAGGUGGGGAUGACGUCAAAUCAUCAUGCCCCUUAUGACCUGGGCUACACACGUGCUACAAUGGACGGUACAAAGAGUCGCUAACUCGCGAGAGUACGCUAAUCUCAUAAAACCGUUCUCAGUUCGGAUUGUAGGCUGCAACUCGCCUACAUGAAGCCGGAAUCGCUAGUAAUCGCGGAUCAGCAUGCCGCGGUGAAUACGUUCCCGGGCCUUGUACACACCGCCCGUCACACCACGAGAGUUUGUAACACCCGAAGUCGGUGAGGUAACCUUUUGGGGCCAGCCGCCGAAGGUGGGAUAGAUGAUUGGGGUGAAGUCGUAACAAGGUAGCCGUAUCGGAAGGUGCGGCUGGAUCACCUCCUUU
rnacentral:rRNA from 1 species